UACGUAGGGCGCAAGCGUUGUCCGGAAUUAUUGGGCGUAAAGAGCUCGUAGGCGGUUUGUCGCGUCUGCUGUGAAAACUCGGGGCUUAACCCCGAGCCUGCAGUGGAUACGGGCAGACUAGAGGUAGGUAGGGGAGAAUGGAAUUCCCGGUGUAGCGGUGAAAUGCGCAGAUAUCGGGAGGAACACCGGUGGCGAAGGCGGGUCUCUGGGCCGAUACUGACGCUGAGGAGCGAAAGCGUGGGGAGCGAACAGG
rnacentral:rRNA from 1 species